AAGGUCACCUUGGCCGCGGCCCCUGGAGCUGCUCGCUUGCACAUUGAUUCCGGCCCGCUAGUGCGAAGGGGAUGGACGUAACCUAAUGACAGUGUGCUAGGGAGCUCUGUGUGUGUGUAUGUGAACGUGUUUGAACGUGUUCCAAAGGCAGGCGUCUGUGACGAUGGUGUUAGUAUUGUAAAGACAAGACUGCUCACGCACACAAACGCACCCACAGAAACACGUUUGAAUGGAAAGAGACCGCGUGUGCGCUGGUGAUGGGUACUCCGUAGUUCUCGGACCGACCGCGGAACCAGCUAGUGUCCCGGCUCCGAUUCCGUUGGUGAAAAUGAAUUGCCAACUCUACCAGGCAAUACCUAUAAUUGUCCGGAAUCUUUUGGAAUCAUCUGAAACCUGGACACGUUCUGAAUCGUCCUGAAUCGUCCUGAAGCGUCGUAGAAACUGCUCCGAUUUCUCCUCCGAAGCAAGAUCCAUAAAGUACUACAUGUCCUGUGUAGGAACGUGCCAUCUGGACCAUCUGAUCGCUCCAUACACUUUUAGAGGUAUGGUUAAUGGCCCAAGACAAACAUCCUCCAAAUUCCGAUGAUUUUUACCUUGUUGAUUAGCAUAAAAACCAACUAUUUAGACGCCAACCAAUGAGAAGCACAACUAAAAUAUAUCAAACCAGUGAGGCUCUACAGUAGUCUAUAUUACAUUGGACGUUAUAAAACUCUUGUCGAUUUGGUAGAAAGUAUCCCAAGUAUCACAAAAUCAACAUACUUUUUUACUCUGUCAGUUCUAAUGGUCUGUUGAGAAGACUUUAAAAAUGUAUUGGUUGCUGAAUCGUAUCAUCGACGAACUGACAAACUAAUGGAAUCGUAACAUUUGGAGUCGCAUUUGCUAACAAAACUGAAUACAAAAUAAUCCCACCUUAAUCUUAAGUCAUCUUUAAGGGCCAAACACGUGUCCAGAUUUGGAAAUAAAUACGAAACCGUUCUACAA